GAUGAACGCUGGCGGCGUGCCUAAUACAUGCAAGUCGAGCGAACAGACGAGGAGCUUUCUCCUUUGACGUUAGCGGCGGGCGGGUGAGUAACACGUAGGUAACCUACCUAUAAGACUGGGAUAACUUCGGGAAACCGGAGCUAAUACCGGAUAAUAUUUCGAACCGCAUGGUUCGAUAGUGAAAGAUGGCUUUGCUAACACUUAUAGAUGGACCUGCGCCGUGUUAGCUAGUUGGUAGGGUAACGGCUUACCAAGGCAACGAUACGUAGCCGACCUGAGAGGGGGACCGGCAACACGGGAACGGGCACAGGGCCCGGACUCCAAGGGGGGGAAGCAGUAGGAAAUUUGCCGCAAGGGGGGAAGGCCGGACGGGGCAACGCGGGGGGGGGGAGGAAGGCCUCCGGUUCGUAAAACUCUGUUAUUGGGGAGGAACAAAGGUGUAAGUAACUGUGCAGGUCUGGAGGGUACCAAAGCAGAAGGCCAGGGCAAAUUAGGU
rnacentral:rRNA from 1 species